rnacentral:rRNA from 1 species
UCUCUCCUGGAAACGGGUGGUAAUGCCGGAUGCUCCGACUCCUCGCAUGGGGUGUCGGGAAAGAUUUCAUCGGUAUGGGAUGGGGUCGCGUCCUAUCAGGUAGUCGGCGGGGUAACGGCCCACCGAGCCUACGACGGGUAGCCGGCCUGAGAGGGCGACCGGCCACAUUGGGACUGAGAUACGGCCCAGACUCCUACGGGAGGCAGCAGUGGGGAAUAUUGCACAAUGGGCGCAAGCCUGAUGCAGCGACGCCGCGUGCGGGAUGACGGCCUUCGGGUUGUAAACCGCUUUUGAUCGGGAGCAAGCCUUCGGGUGAGUGUACCUUUCGAAUAAGCACCGGCUAACUACGUGCCAGCAGCCGCGGUAAUACGUAGGGUGCAAGCGUUAUCCGGAAUUAUUGGGCGUAAAGGGCUCGUAGGCGGUUCGUCGCGUCCGGUGUGAAAGUCCAUCGCUUAACGGUGGAUCUGCGCCGGGUACGGGCGGGCUGGAGUGCGGUAGGGGAGACUGGAAUUCCCGGUGUAACGGUGGAAUGUGUAGAUAUCGGGAAGAACACCAAA